rnacentral:tRNA from 1 species
GGGGUUGUGGCUCAGUGGCAGAGCGCUUGCCUAGCAUGUGUGAGGCACUGGGUUCAAUCCCCAGCACCACA